rnacentral:rRNA from 1 species
CCCCUUCCGUAGGGUGAACCUGCGGAAGGAUCAUUGAAUUAUCAAAACCACACUGUGAACCUGUUUGUCCCACGCUUUUGUGCACCGCGGUGCCCUGCGCUGGCGGGCCCUGGGAUUGUCUCCUCACGGGGACUUCUUAGGGUUAUCUGCGCAAUUGCGUGUUUUCUCACACACCCAGUGGUUACCACUGAGAUUGUGCCAAGAAAUUGGUGCAGCCAAACCAAACCCUGAAGGAAAGAUUGCCAUACUCUGGCGGUCACAAACGAAAACAACUCUCAACAACGGAUAUCUUGGCUCUCGCAACGAUGAAGAACGCAGCGAAAUGCGAUACGUAGUGUGAAUUGCAGAAUUCCGUGAACCAUCGAAUCUUUGAACGCAUAUUGCGCUCAAGCCUUCGGGCAAGAGCAUGUCUGCCUCAGCGUCGGUUUACACCCUCACACCCCUAUCAUAUUUGUGGUAGCGCCAAACCUACACGGUUUGCGGGCGUGGAUAUGACCUCCUCAAUCAGCCUUGCUGCCGAUUGGGUUGGUUGAAGUUGAGAGGCUUGAACAAGGACCCGGAAUGGGCAUCAACUGGAUAGGUAGUGCCGGCCAUUCGGUCGUCUACACGAAGUUGUUGCUUGUGGACCUUGUUGGGGGCCAGCAGGAAUCACGCAUCGCGUGACCUAAACCUUCGACCUGAGCUCAGGCAAGAUUACCCGCUGAACUUAAGCAUAUCAAUA